rnacentral:rRNA from 1 species
UACGUAGGGUGCGAGCGUUAAUCGGAAUUACUGGACGUAAAGCGUGCGCAGGCGGUUCUCCAAGUCCGUUGUGAAAGCCCCGGGCUCAACCUGGGAAUGGCAGUGGAAACUAGGGGACUGGAAUCUGGCAGAGGGGGGUGGAAUGCCGCGUGUAGCAGUGAAAUGCGUAGAGAUGCGGCGGAACACCGAUGGCGAAGGCAGCCCCCUGGGCUGAGAUUGACGCUCAGGCACGAAAGCGUGGGGAGCAAACAGG